rnacentral:rRNA from 1 species
AGCGAACGCUGGCGGCAGGCUUAACACAUGCAAGUCGAACGCCCGGGCAACCGGGAGUGGCAGACGGGUGAGUAACGCGUGGGAACAUGCCCUUUGGUUCGGAAUAACUCAGGGAAACUUGAGCUAAUACCGGAUAAGCCCUAACGGGGAAAGAUUUAUCGCCGAAGGAUUGGCCCGCGUCCGAUUAGCUAGUUGGUAUGGUAAUGGCGCACCAAGGCGACGAUCGGUAGCUGGUCUGAGAGGAUGAUCAGCCACACUGGGACUGAGACACGGCCCAGACUCCUACGGGAGGCAGCAGUGGGGAAUAUUGGACAAUGGGGGCAACCCUGAUCCAGCCAUGCCGCGUGAGUGAUGAAGGCCCUAGGGUUGUAAAGCUCUUUCGGCGGGGACGAUAAUGACGGUACCCGCAGAAGAAGCCCCGGCUAACUUCGUGCCAGCCGCCGCAGUAAAAC